rnacentral:rRNA from 1 species
GACGAACGCUGGCGGCGUGCUUAACACAUGCAAGUCGAACGAUGAAGCCCAGCUUGCUGGGUGGAAGAGUGGCGAACGGGUGAGUAACACGUGAGUAACCUGCCCUGAACUCUGGGAUAAGCACUGGAAACGGUUUCUAAUACUGGAUACGACCUAUCACCGCAUGGUGUGGGGGUGGAAAGAUUUAUCGGUUCUGGAUGGACUCGCGGCCUAUCAGCUAGAUGGUGAGGUAAUGGCUCACCAUGGCGACGACGGGUAGCCGGCCUGAGAGGGUGACCGGCCACACUGGGACUGAGACACGGCCCAGACUCCUACGGGAGGCAGCAGUGGGGAAUAUUGCACAAUGGGCGCAAGCCUGAUGCAGCAACGCCGCGUGAGGGAUGACGGCCUUCGGGUUGUAAACCUCUUUUAGUAGGGAAGAAGCGAAAGUGACGGUACCUGCAGAAAAAGCACCGGCUAACUACGUG